UCUUGCACUUUCCAGUGAGAUUCCAACUACCCCGAGCCUCUUGUUUGACGAUCUGUGAUUAGUUAGGCUACGACGGUGACGGGGAAGAGGUGUGGGUCUGGGCUCGUGGUCUUCCUCAUCUCAGAUGCGGGCUCAGUGGUGGGGAUGGGGAUCGACGUGAUGAGAAGAAUCAUCUUCCUCUCCUAUAUUUUACUGAAUUUGAUUAUUUAUCUAUAUUAGGUGAAAGAUGCAUCUGAUUUCUUAUGGGGAUGGGUUUUUUUUGGUUAUUAUACUUGCUAACUUUACUGCAGUUUGUAUAUCAUUCAUUUGGUUUUUCUUUUCCCUUUCAUUUCAUUGCAUUGUUUGGUGAAAUAUUAUACUUUUCUAUUGGGUGUCUUUGUGAUUUACUGAUUUUGAUAAAUGCUAUGCAUAUUGGUUUGGUGGGUUGUAGGAACAUCUGCUUGUCCAAAUGGAAGAUUCUAUUGUCAAAAUGUAGGGCAUGCUCCUAAAGUGUUAUUCUCUUCUAGAGUGAAUGAUGGUAUAUGCGGAUGUUGUGGACGUCCAUGACAAUUUAGCUGCUGAAGCUGAACAUGGUGAUGCUUCCAGAAAGGAAAGGUCCUAAGUUCAAGGUGUAGAACAGGUCUAUAUUGAGAUGCAUUUCUUUGGUGCAAUACUAGACAACAUUGACAGUUGAAGUUUUUAGAAUAAAAAAUAUAUUUCACUAACAUUGUAUACAUUUCUUGUUUAAUAUUUGGUGAUGAUAAAAUUUGAUUGUAGUAUAAACUAUCAUGUAAUAUGAUUUUGUAAGCUGAGUAGACUAAAUACUGAAAUGAUAUUUUUGAGUAAUUAAUAAAAAAUUAUUUUGUUGUA